rfam:Myotis lucifugus cont2.4611, whole genome shotgun sequence.
GUCUAUGGCCAUACCACCCUGAACAUGUCCAAACUCAUCUGAUGUCGGAAGCUAAGCAGGGUUGGGCCUGGUUAGUAUUGCCCUAGCCCGUGUGGUUCAGUUGGUUGGAAU